rnacentral:rRNA from 1 species
CAGUAGCCGCGGGAAUACCGAGGGUGCGAGCGUUAAUCGGAUUUACUGGGCGUAAAGCGUGCGUAGGCGUCUUCUUAAGUCGGAUGUGAAAUCCCUGAGCUUAACUUAGGAAUUGCAUUCGAUACUGGGAAGCUAGAGUAUGGGAGAGGAUGGUAGAAUUCCAGGUGUAGCGGUGAAAUGCGUAGAGAUCUGGAGGAAUACCGAUGGCGAAGGCAGCCAUCUGGCCUAAUACUGACGCUGAGGUACGAAAGCAUGGGGAGCAAACAGUAUUAGAUACCCCGGUAGUCCCUGUCUCUUAUAC